rnacentral:rRNA from 1 species
UGGGGAAUUUUGGACAAUGGGCGAAAGCCUGAUCCAGCAAUGCCGCGUGUGUGAAGAAGGCCUUCGGGUUGUAAAGCACUUUUGUCCGGAAAGAAAUCCUUGGCUCUAAUACAGUCGGGGGAUGACGGUACCGGAAGAAUAAGCACCGGCUAACUACGUGCCAGCAGCCGCGGUAAUACGUAGGGUGCAAGCGUUAAUCGGAAUUACUGGGCGUAAAGCGUGCGCAGGCGGUUUGCUAAGACCGAUGUGAAAUCCCCGGGCUCAACCUGGGAACUGCAUUGGUGACUGGCAGGCUAGAGUAUGGCAGAGGGGGGUAGAAUUCCACGUGUAGCAGUGAAAUGCGUAGAGAUGUGGAGGAAUACCGAUGGCGAAGGCAGCCCCCUGGGCCAAAUACUGACGCUCAUGCACGAAAGCGUGGGGAGCAAACAGGAUUAGAUACCCUGGUAGUCCACGCCCUAAACGAUGUCAACUAGUUGUUGGGGAUUCAUUCCUUAGUAACGUAGCUAACGCGUGAAGUUGACCGCCUGGGGAGUACGGUCGCAAGAUUAAAACUCAAGUGAAUUGACGGGGUCAUAGCUGUUUCCU